rnacentral:lncRNA from 1 species
AAAAAGCCUAUUCCUAUCCCGUUCACGGUAACCCGCAAUCUGGCUCUUGUUAUGCAGAUAGGUUGGCUACCAUUUGCAAUAGGCUGGCUACCCUUUUGUCUCGGCUGUACUGCGUGAAAUUGGAGAGUACGGUAGCCCGCCUUCUGUGCCCGUGGUGAGAAAGAAAUGCAACCACGCGAAAUACCUUCGUCGUGGCUGCGAAUACAAAUCGAGGAAUGCACAGGGGAGCUGUUAAAACAGCCCAGGCCAAAAAA